rnacentral:misc_RNA from 2 species
AGCAGCCGCGGUAAUUCCAGCUCCAAUAGCGUAUAUUAAAGUUGUUGCAGUUAAAAAGCUCGUAGUUGAAUUUCGGGAUCAGUAGGUUGGUCAUACCUCUGGUAUGUACUGGUCUCACUGAUUCCUCCCUCUUGAAGAACUGUAAUGUCAUUAAUUUGGUGUUGCGGGGAAUCAGGACUGUUACUUUGAAAAAAUUAGAGUGUUUAAAGCAGGCUUACGCUUGAAUACAUUAGCAUGGAAUAAUGAAAUAGGACGUUUGAUCCUAUUUUGUUGGUUUCUAGGAUUGACGUAAUGAUUAAUAGGGAUAGUUGGGGGCAUUAGUAUUCAAUUGUCAGAGGUGAAAUUCUUGGAUUUAUUGAAGACUAACUACUGCGAAGGCAUUUGCCAAGGAUGUUUUCAUUAAUCAAGAACGAAAGUUAGGGGAUCGAAGACGAUCAGAUACCGUCGUAGUCUUAACCAUAAACUAUGCCGACUAGGGAUCGGAUGAUGUUAAUUUUUUAAUGACUCAUUCGGCGCCUUA